rnacentral:rRNA from 1 species
UACGUAGGGUGCGAGCGUUGUCCGGAAUUAUUGGGCGUAAAGAGCUUGUAGGCGGCCUGUUGCGUCCGCUGUGAAAUCCCGGGGCUCAACCCCGGGCCUGCAGUGGAUACGGGCUGGCUAGAGGCAGGCAGGGGAGAACGGAAUUCCUGGUGUAGCGGUGAAAUGCGCAGAUAUCAGGAGGAACACCGGUGGCGAAGGCGGUUCUCUGGGCCUGUACUGACGCUGAGGAGCGAAAGCGUGGGGAGCGAACAGG